rnacentral:rRNA from 1 species
AGAGUUUGAUCAUGGCUCAGAACGAACGCUGGCGGCGUGCUUAACACAUGCAAGUCGAACGAGAAAAUCCUGGCUUGCCAGGAUGAGUAAAGUGGCGCACGGGUGAGUAACACGUGAGUAAUCUGCCCCUAAGUCAGGAAUAACAUUGCGAAAGCGAUGCUAAUACCUGGUAAGCCCACGACUUCUUCGGGAGAUGUGGGAAAAGGUGGCCUCUGACAUAAGCUAUCACUUAGGGAUGAGCUCGCGGACCAUUAGCUUGUUGGUAGGGUAAUGGCCUACCAAGGCGAUGAUGGUUAGCUGGCCUGAGAGGGUGGCCAGCCACACUGGAACUGAGAUACGGUCCAGACUCCUACGGGAGGCAGCAGUGGGGAAUCUUGCGCAAUGGGGGAAACCCUGACGCAGCAACGCCGCGUGAGUGACGAAGGCUUUCGGGUCGUAAAGCUCUGUCAGAUGGAAAGAAUUAGUUCGCUGAAAAUAUUGGCGAAUGAUGACGGUACCAUCAAAGGAAGCACCGGCUAACUCCGUGCCAGCAGCCGCGGUAAUACGGAGGGUGCAAGCGUUGUUCGGAAUUAUUGGGCGUAAAGCGCGUGUAGGCGGGAAGGCAGGUCAGGUGUGAAAUCCCUUGGCUUAACCAAGGAACUGCAUCUGAAACCAUUUUCCUCGAGUACGAUAGGGGAGGGCGGAAUUCCCAGUGUAGAGGUGAAAUUCAUAGAUAUUGGGAGGAACACCAGUGGCGAAGGC